rnacentral:rRNA from 1 species
GAUGAACGCUGGCGGCGUGCCUAAUACAUGCAAGUCGAACGCUGGAAAUCUAGCUUGCUAGAUUGAAGGAGUGGCGAACGGGUGAGUAAUACAUAAGCAACCUACCCACGAAGACUGGGAUAAUCUCUGGAAACGGGGACUAAUACCGGAUAGGUAAUCGGAAGGCAUCUUCUGAUUAUUAAAGGUUAAAAACACUGGUGGAUGGGCUUAUGGCGCAUUAGUUAGUUGGUGAGGUAACGGCCCACCAAGACGAUGAUGCGUAGCCGGCCGGAGAGGGUGAACGGCCACAUUGGGACUGAGACACAGCCCAGACUCCUACGGGAGGCAGCAGUAGGGAAUUUUCGGCGAGGGAGGAAACCCUGACCGAGCAACGCCGCGUGAGUGAGGACGGCCUUCGGGUUGUAAAGCUCUGUUGUAAGGGAAGAACGGUAGAUAGAGAAUAUCUAAAUGACGGUACCUUACCAGAAAGCCACGGCUAACUACGUG